AUUACGGGAAACAUGGAGAAAGAGCAAGAAAAGAUUGAGAGCAAGAAGAAAGGUUAUCACAGAAUAAUGAGUAGAGUUCCCUGUGUUAUACGUGGUUAAGAAUCUGCCUGCCAAUGGAGGGGACGCGGGUCCGAGCUCUGGUCCGGGAAGAUCACACAUGCCGCAAAGCAACUAAUCCCGUGCGCCACAACUACUGAAGCCUGCGUGCCUCUUGCAGAACAACUAAGCCUGUGUGCCGCAACUAUUGAAGGCUGCGCGCCUAGAGCCCAUGCUCCACAACAAGAGAAGCCA